rnacentral:rRNA from 1 species
CCUACGGGGGCUGCAGUGGGGAAUAUUGGACAAUGGGGGGAACCCUGAUCCAGCCAUGCCGCGUGUGUGAAGAAGGCCCUCGGGUUGUAAAGCACUUUCAGUGAGGAAGAACGCCUGGUGGUUAAUACCCAUCAGGAAAGACAUCACUCACAGAAGAAGCACCGGCUAACUCCGUGCCAGCAGCCGCGGUAAUACGGAGGGUGCGAGCGUUAAUCGGAAUUACUUGGCGUAAAGCGCGCGUAGGUGGCUUGAUAAGCCGGUUGUGAAAGCCCCGGGCUCAACCUGGGAACGGCAUCCGGAACUGUCAAGCUAGAGUGCAGGAGAGGAAGGUAGAAUUCCCGGUGUAGCGGUGAAAUGCGUAGAGAUCGGGAGGAAUACCAGUGGCGAAGGCGGCCUUCUGGACUGACACUGACACUGAGGUGCGAAAGCGUGGGUAGCAAACAGGAUUAGAUACCCGUGUAGUC